CUACGGGGCGCUGCAGUAGGGAAUUUUGCGCAAUGGGGGAAACCCUGACGCAGCAAUACCGCGUGAGUGAAGAAGGCCUUUGGGUCGUAAAGCUCUUUUCUUGGGGAAGAUAGUGACGGUACCCAAGGAAUAAGCACCGGCUAACUCCGUGCCAGCAGCCGCGGUAAUACGGAGGGUGCAAGCGUUGUUCGGAUUUACUGGGCGUAAAGGGCACGUAGGCGGCACAGCAAGUUAAGGGUGAAAUCCCGGGGCUCAACUCCGGAACUGCUCUUAAAACUGCUGAGCUAGAGAUAGUCAGAGGCGGGUGGAAUUCCAGGUGUAGAGGUGAAAUUCGUAGAUAUCUGGAGGAACACCGGUGGCGAAGGCGGCCCGCUGGGGCUAUUCUGACGCUAAGGUGCGAAAGCGUGGGGAGCAAACGGGAUUAGAUACCCUUGUAGUC
rnacentral:rRNA from 1 species